AAGGGAAUAGUGGAGUUACUGCUAAUAACUUUGUGUCAAUUUGUUUUGACUUCCUUCU
rnacentral:tRNA from 1 species